GAGUUUGAUCAUGGCUCAGAACGAACGCUGGCGGCAGGCUUAACACAUGCAAGUCGAGCGCGUAGCAAUACGAGCGGCGGACGGGUUAGUAACGCGUGGGAACGUGCCCUUCUCUACGGAAUAGCCCAGGGAAACUUGGAUUAAUACCGUAUACGCCCGCAAGGGGAAAGAUUUAUCGGAGAGGGAUCGGCCCGCGUUGGAUUAGGUAGUUGGUGGGGUAAUGGCCUACCAAGCCGACGAUCCAUAGCUGGUUUGAGAGGAUGAUCAGCAACACUGGGACUGAGACACGGCCCAGACUCCUACGGGAGGCAGCAGUGGGGAAUCUUGGACAAUGGGGGCAACCCUGAUCCAGCCAUGCCGCGUGGACGAUGAAGGCCUUAGGGUUGUAAAGUCCUUUCGCCUGGGAAGAUAAUGACGGUACCAGGUAAAGAAGCCCCGGCUAACUCCGUGCCAGCAGCCGCGGUAAUACGGAGGGGGCUAGCGUUGUUCGGAAUUACUGGGCGUAAAGCGCACGCAGGCGGAUUGUUAAGUCGGGGGUGAAAUCCCGGGGCUCAACCCCGGAACGGCCUUCGAUACUGGCAGUCUGGAGGAUGGAAGAGGCGAGUGGAAUUCCGAGUGUAGAGG
rnacentral:rRNA from 1 species